GUGCUGGCUUUGGCAACACGUGUAUUAAAACUGGAAUGAUACAGAGAUUAGCAUGGCCCCUGCUCAAGGAUGACACACACAUUUGUAAAAUGUUCCAUAUUUAA